rnacentral:rRNA from 1 species
UGGGGAAUCUUGCACAAUGGAGGAAACUCUGAUGCAGCGACGCCGCGUGAGCGAAGAAGCCUUUCGGGGUGUAAAGCUCUUACGCCAGGGACGAUAAUGACGGUACCUGGAGAAGCAGCUGCGGCUAACUACGUGCCAGCAGCCGCGGUAAUACGUAGGCAGCAAGCGUUGUUCGGAAUUACUGGGCGUAAAGGGUGCGUAGGCGGCGCUCUAAGUUUGGUGUGAAAUCUCCCGGCUUAACUGGGAGGGUGCACUGAAAACUGGGGCGCUCGAGUAUGGGAGAGGAAAGCGGAAUUCCUGGUGUAGCGGUGAAAUGCGUAGAGAUCAGGAGGAACACCCGCGGUGCAGACGGCUUUCUGGACCAUCACUGACGCUGAGGCACGAAAGCGUGGGUAACAAACA